CGCCUCCUGCAGCAUAAAGUAUAGGAGGUCCAGCCUGCCCAGUGACUACGGGUUCAACGGCCGCGGUAUAUUGACCGUGCAAAGGUAGCGCAAUCACUUGUCUUUUAAAUAGAGACCUGUAUGAAUGGCUAGACGAGGGCUUAACUGUCUCCCCCCUCCAGUCAGUGAAAUUGAUCUAUCCGUGCAGAAGCGGGUAUAGUACUACAAGACGAGAAGACCCUUUGGAGCUUAAGGUACAGAAUUCAGCCACGUUAAGCAACUCCAUAAACAGCAAGAACUUAGUGGUCAUGAAAUUUUACCUUCGGUUGGGGCGACCGCGGAGGAAAAGCAAGCCUCCGAGUGGACUGGGCCGAGACCCUAAAGCCAAGAGAAACAUCUUCAAGCCGCAGAACAUCUGACCAAUAAUGAUCCGGCUAGAAAGCCGAUCAACGGACCAAGUUACCCUAGGGAUAACAGCGCAAUCCUCUCCCAGAGCCCAUAUCGACGAGGGGGUUUACGACCUCGAUGUUGGAUCAGGACAUCCUGGUGGUGCAGCCGCUAUUAAGGGUUCGUUUGUUCAACGAUUAAAGUCCU
rnacentral:rRNA from 1 species